ensembl:lncRNA
AUUUUCCAGGGAUGGUCACGGUGGUGGACAGAACAAGAAAGCUGUAACUAAAGUUUGUCCUUCCCUAGUGUGAGUCACGACCAUUUCCCUUAUACCACAAUGAGGAGGAAUGCUGAUAUGUGGGAACUGAUGAAGAAGCACAAGGGAACCAAUGUUCACCUCUUCAUCCCAACGAAAUCUGCUGGUGAAUCACAGGCUGCAAAAUACAACUGAGCAAGUUAAAUUCCACUUCCCUUGAACACGGAAGCAAGUAGUACAUUUUGUCACAUGGCCACAUCAGCAUAUCGCAACAACAAGCAGAGUCACCUGGUGAAACGACCCAUUCAGAGAUUUAGAGGGAAAAUUUCCUUAGGGCAGGUGGCACUGGACAUCUGGCAGCCCUCUAACUUUUGUUCUGAGAGUAAUACCUACGCUGGAGGGCAUCCUGCCAGGAGCUGCACCCACCUGAGACACGGCCAGCUCAAGAUGAAAGGGAACACAAAAUUCAACAGGACAGUUAUCUUUUACUGAUGUUCAGGACCGAGGUACCUGGGAACACAAUAGCUCCCCUUAGGUUUUGGUACUGUUUGGUAAUGUCAGGCAGCUAAGAAAGUUAAUCAGGCCAGAGACAGGCUUCUAUAUGCUUUCUCCACAAGGAUUAAGAACUACUUGCCAAGUAUUCAGAUUGGGUAAUUGCUACCUGGAUUAGCAAAGGGUAUGCAGCCCAAAAAUAAAAUAAUUGCUGAGAGUUUCUGAUAGAUUGCAUCACUCCAUGCCAAAGUAUAUGGCAGAAUGAGAAUCAUCAACAUAUGAUGUAAGGAUACAAGACUGCUCAUAGUACAGACACCACAGCUGAACCCUUUGUGGCUGGCUGAAGGAGAAAAAAUAUUAACACUCACAUUCUGCUUAUAGGAAAGCAAUAAUCUGAUUCUGAACUCCAGAAGCAUUUGUGGAAUCCACAGACUGCCCAAAAUAAUAUUUCCUUUCUUAGAACACAGGGGACAAACAUUCAUCCUUGCUCAAAAACGUAAAUUUGACCAAAGCUAAUUUUACCCCAGUGUCAAACUAUGAGAUCAUUGUUCUAUCAGCAUACAAGUUUAGCAUCACAUACUUUGUGACCAAAUGCAACCUGGAGCAGAGCCUAUACUGUCCAUCAGGAGUGCUGCUCACAGGAUAAAAACAUACAUCAUCCAUUGUAUUUGACUAAAUAGACCGAGUGAAACUCAAGUUUCUUCUUACAUAAAUGAUUAGGUGUUACAAAGAUAUACGGAAACAUCAGGUAUUCCGCAUAUUACAACAUGAUUAUAUGCAAGAGUGUAAGAUUCCUGAACUAUUUUAGUGGUCCUUUUCUUCUCUGUAUCCACACAGUAAUACAAUCAGGGGAAGAGAACAGAAAUUAUUCAAAUUUUCACUCCUUUCCCAUCAGCCAUGCAUACAGUGCUGACUCAGGAACAAACAUUAAAAAGCAAGAGUCAUGAGGGAACGUACAAAUCCAAUUGUACGUCUCCCAAGGGAAGUCAUUACAACAGUGUCAAACAGGCCUUAAGUAGGAGGAAUGAAUGAACAGGAAGGGGGAAUAUUUGGCAGGAUGGAAAAAAAAAGCACUGGUAGAGAAGGUCCCGAUAACAGCAAACUACAUCAACGUGCUCAGCACCCAAACUGCACUGCAAUCCUAAGGUUUUUAAGGAGGAAAGUGGUAGCGUGUAUCAAGCAUUCAUAAGGAAGACAUGAUAUAGAAAUAAAGGAGAGGCACAGCAUUAAAAUAUCCAGUGCAUGGCCCAGUUAUGUGUGCCAUUAGAAGAUUACACUCCUCGUUGUUUUGUUACGUUUACAACUAAAAUCAUUAAUUUUUGACAUAACUGCAAACAGACGAAAAACUAAAUCUCUAAAAAUGCAGGAAGACAGCAUUAUUAUUAGGGCUUAUUCAAACUACCAAACCUGGCCAUGGAUGAAAUAUUAAUUAAAGGUUGCAUUUGGAACCUUCAGAAAAAUGAUUAUUCAACACAGCAAUGAUGUUUUGCCCAAUUGUUUAAUAAAAUUUUAUCUUACUGUGCAGCCAAGCUUAGACCAAAAACGUUAGCGAAUAAAGGAUCACAGAGCUCUAAUGACAGGCUGAAACUGGGGAAAGACAUGUGUGUAUUAAUAUUUAGCUUCAGAAAAUAUGCAAAUUGCUUAAAUAUCACUGCUUUUGUCUUCCGUAAGAGAUAAUGGUUAAAUAGUCAACCUUAUUUCAAUGACGGGUAGAUCAUCAAAUUAGCACCUAAAUUAAGGAUCCAAUUAGUCUCUAAUAAAUAAUUUGUCAAUAAAAGCAAAACCAGUACGAUUUAAU